rnacentral:rRNA from 1 species
UACGUAGGGGGCAAGCGUGGUCCGGAAUCAUUGGGCGUAAAGCGCGUGUAGGCGGCUUUGCAAGUCGGAUGUGAAAGCCCACGGCUCAACCGUGGAAGUGCAUCCGAAACUGCAUGGCUCGAGUCUCGGAGAGGAAGGUGGAAUGCUUGGUGUAGAGGCGAAAUUCGUAGAUAUCAAGCAGAACACCUGCGGCGAAGGCGGCCUUCUGGACGAUGACUGACGCUGAGACGCGAAAGCGUGGGGAGCAAACAGG